rnacentral:rRNA from 1 species
GCAGUCGAACGCGUUGGCCCAAUUGAUUGAUGGUGCUUGCACCUGAUUGAUUUUGGUCGCCAACGAGUGGCGGACGGGUGAGUAACACGUAGGUAACCUGCCCAGAAGCGGGGGACAACAUUUGGAAACAGAUGCUAAUACCGCAUAACAGCGUUGUUCGCAUGAACAACGCUUAAAAGAUGGCUUCUCGCUAUCACUUCUGGAUGGACCUGCGGUGCAUUAGCUUGUUGGUGGGGUAACGGCCUACCAAGGCGAUGAUGCAUAGCCGAGUUGAGAGACUGAUCGGCCACAAUGGGACUGAGACACGGCCCAUACUCCUACGGGAGGCAGCAGUAGGGAAUCUUCCACAAUGGGCGCAAGCCUGAUGGAGCAACACCGCGUGAGUGAAGAAGGGUUUCGGCUCGUAAAGCUCUGUUGUUAAAGAAGAACACGUAUGAGAGUAACUGUUCAUACGUUGACGGUAUUUAACCAGAAAGUCACGGCUAACUACGUGCCAGCAGCCGCGGUAAUACGUAGGUGGCAAGCGUUAUCCGGAUUUAUUGGGCGUAAAGAGAGUGCAGGCGGUUUUCUAAGUCUGAUGUGAAAGCCUUCGGCUUAACCGGAGAAGUGCAUCGGAAACUGGAUAACUUGAGUGCAGAAGAGGGUAGUGGAACUCCAUGUGUAGCGGUGGAAUGCGUAGAUAUAUGGAAGAACACCAGUGGCGAAGGCGGCUACCUGGUCUGCAACUGACGCUGAGACUCGAAAGCAUGGGUAGCGAACAGGAUUAGAUACCCUGGUAGUCCAUGCCGUAAACGAUGAGUGCUAGGUGUUGGAGGGUUUCCGCCCUUCAGUGCCGGAGCUAACGCAUUAAGCACUCCGCCUGGGGAGUACGACCGCAAGGUUGAAACUCAAAGGAAUUGACGGGGGCCCGCACAAGCGGUGGAGCAUGUGGUUUAAUUCGAAGCUACGCGAAGAACCUUACCAGGUCUUGACAUCUUGCGCCAACCCUAGAGAUAGGGCGUUUCCUUCGGGAACGCAAUGACAGGUGGUGCAUGGUCGUCGUCAGCUCGUGUCGUGAGAUGUUGGGUUAAGUCCCGCAACGAGCGCAACCCUUGUUACUAGUUGCCAGCAUUAAGUUGGGCACUCUAGUGAGACUGCCGGUGACAAACCGGAGGAAGGUGGGGACGACGUCAGAUCAUCAUGCCCCUUAUGACCUGGGCUACACACGUGCUACAAUGGACGGUACAACGAGUCGCGAACUCGCGAGGGCAAGCAAAUCUCUUAAAACCGUUCUCAGUUCGGACUGCAGGCUGCAACUCGCCUGCACGAAGUCGGAAUCGCUAGUAAUCGCGGAUCAGCAUGCCGCGGUGAAUACGUUCCCGGGCCUUGUACACACCGCCCGUCACACCAUGAGAGUUUGUAACACCCAAAGUCGGUGGGGUAACCUUUUAGGAGCCAGCCGCCUAAGGUG